UCUCCAGGCUGCAGUGCAGAGGUGUGAUCUCAGAUCACUGCAGCAUCCUCCUACUGCAUUCAAGCAAUUCUUCUGCUUCAGCCUCUCGAAUAGCUGGGACUGAAAUUUCUCACCACCACCACGCGGGAAUUUUUGAAGUGUUUAGUACAGACAGGGUUUCACCAUGUUGGCCAGGAUGACCUCAACCUCUUGCCCUCAUGAUCUGCCCGCCUCAGCCUCACCACAUGCUGGAUUACAUGCAUAAACCACUGCGCCCAGCCUGCCAUCUGGUUAUCUAACAUCACCAAGUGAAUAUUAGACCUGUGCCAGCGGGACCCAGCAUGAUGUCAUCCUCAUGGUGUUUCUUUUUCUCUUAUUGCAGGAGAAGCCCGCCGCUUGGUGUCACCGCCGUCCCGUUGAGGUCCCGCAGGACCUCAUACUAGAAGACAUUGAGGAUGAUGAGCUACCCCGUGAUGAGGAGAAGCCUGCGUCCCACUAUCAUCGCCGUCCCGUUGAGGUCCCGCAGGACCUCAUACUAGAAGACAUUGAGGAUGAUGAGCUACCCCGUGACGAGGUAAGAUGCAUUCUUCUGUCUCGAAGAGAAAUUUUUCUUUCUGUGGCCUCUGGUAUAUCAAGUGAAUAUCCUUUUUGACUGCCAUUGUGAAUCGGACCU
rnacentral:lncRNA from 13 species